CCUACGUGAGGCAGCAGUGAGGAAUAUUGGUCAAUGGACGAGAGUCUGAACCAGCCAAGUAGCGUGAAGGAUGACUGCCCUAUGGGUUGUAAACUUCUUUUAUAUGGGAAUAAACUGUUCCACGUGUGGGCUUUUGUAUGUACCCUAUGAAUAAGGAUCGGCUAACUCCGUGCCAGCAGCCGCGGUAAUACGGAGGAUCCGAGCGUUAUCCGGAUUUCUUGGGUUUAAAGGGAGCGUAGGUGGAUUGUUAAGUCAGUUGUGAAAGUUUGCGGCUCAACCGUAAAAUUGCAGUUGAAACUGGCAGUCUGGAGUACAGUAGAGGUGGGCGGAAUUCGUGGUGGAGCGGUGAAAUGCUUAGAUAUCACGAAGAACUCCGAUUGCGAAGGCAGUUCACUGGACUGCAACUGACACUGAGGCUCGAAAGUGUGGGUAUCAAACAGGAUUAGAUACCCCAGUAGUC
rnacentral:rRNA from 1 species